GAUGAACGCUGGCGGCGUGCUUAACACAUGCAAGUCGAACGAAGCACUUUAUUUGAUUUCCUUCGGGACUGAUUAUUUUGUGACUGAGUGGCGGACGGGUGAGUAACGCGUGGGUAACCUGCCUUGUACAGGGGGAUAACAGUUGGAAACGGCUGCUAAUACCGCAUAAGCGCACGGCAUCGCAUGAUGCAGUGUGAAAAACUCCGGUGGUAUAAGAUGGACCCGCGUUGGAUUAGCUAGUUGGUGAGGUAACGGCCCACCAAGGCGACGAUCCAUAGCCGACCUGGGAGGGUGACCGGCCACAUUGGGACUGAGACACGGCCCAAACUCCUACGGGAGGCAGCAGUGGGGAAUAUUGCACAAGGGGCGAAAGCCUGAUGCAGCGACGCCGCGUGAGCGAAGAAGUAUUUCGGUAUGUAAAGCCCUAUCAGCAGGGAAGAUAAUGACGGUACCUGACUAAGAAGCACCGGCUAAAUACGUG
rnacentral:rRNA from 1 species